ACGGAGCAACGCCGCGUGAGUGAUGAAGGUUUUCGGAUCGUAAAGCUCUGUUGUUAGGGAAGAACAAGUGCAAGAGUAACUGCUUGCACCAUGACGGUACCUAACCAGAAAGCCACGGCUAACUACGUGCCAGCAGCCGCGGUAAUACGUAGGUGGCAAGCGUUGUCCGGAAUUAUUGGGCGUAAAGGGCUCGCAGGCGGUUUCUUAAGUCUGAUGUGAAAGCCCCCGGCUCAACCGGGGAGGGUCAUUGGAAACUGGGAAACUUGAGUGCAGAAGAGGAGAGUGGAAUUCCACGUGUAGCGGUGAAAUGCGUAGAGAUGUGGAGGAACACCAGUGGCGAAGGCGACUCUCUGGUCUGUAACUGACGCUGAGGAGCGAAAGCGUGGGGAGCGAACAGGAUUAGAUACCCUGGUAGUCCACGCCGUAAACGAUGAGUGCUAAGUGUUAGGGGGUUUCCGCCCCUUAGUGCUGCAGCUAACGCAUUAAGCACUCCGCCUGGGGAGUACGGUCGCAAGACUGAAACUCAAAGGAAUUGACGGGGGCCCGCACAAGCGGUGGAGCAUGUGGUUUAAUUCGAAGCAACGCGAAGAACCUUACCAGGUCUUGACAUCCUCUGACAACCCUAGAGAUAGGGCUUUCCCUUCGGGGACAGAGUGACAGGUGGUGCAUGGUUGUCGUCAGCUCGUGUCGGGAGAUGUUGGGGUUAAUCCCGC
rnacentral:rRNA from 1 species